rnacentral:rRNA from 1 species
CGUACCUUUUGUAUAAUGGGUCAGCGACUUAUAUUCUGUAGCAAGGUUAACCGUAUAGGGGAGCCGAAGGGAAACCGAGUCUUAACUGGGCGUUAAGUUGCAGGGUAUAGACCCGAAACCCGGUGAUCUAGCCAUGGGCAGGUUGAAGGUUGGGUAACACUAACUGGAGGACCGAACCGACUAAUGUUGAAAAAUUAGCGGAUGACCUGUGGCUGGGGGUGAAAGGCCAAUCAAACCGGGAGAUAGCUGGUUCUCCCCGAAAGCUAUUUAGGUAGCGCCUCGUGAACUCAUCUUCGGGGGUAGAGCACUGUUUCGGCUAGGGGGCCAUCCCGGCUUACCAACCCGAUGCAAACUACGAAUACCGAAGAAUGUUAUCACGGGAGACACACGGCGGGUGCUAACGUCCGUCGUGAAGAGGGAAACAACCCAGACCGCCAGCUAAGGUCCCAAAGUCAUGGUUAAGUGGGAAACGAUGUGGGAAGGCACAGACAGCCAGGAUGUUGGCUUAGAAGCAGCCAUCAUUUAAAGAAAGCGUAAUAGCUCACUGGUCGAGUCGGCCUGCGCGGAAGAUGUAACGGGGCUAAACCAUG